rnacentral:tRNA from 1 species
UCCGCUGUAGCACAAUCAACUAAAACAUUGGGUGUUUCGGCUCCUCAAACACAGGAGUCCCAGGUUCGAGUCCUGGCAGCGGAA